GACGAACGCUGGCGGCGUGCCUAAUACAUGCAAGUUGAGCGCUGAAGGUUGGUACUUGUACCCACUGGAUGAGCAGCGAACGGGUGAGUAACGCGUGGGGAAUCUGCCUUUGAGCGGGGGACAACAUUUGGAAACGAAUGCUAAUACCGCAUAAAAACUUUAAACACAAGUUUUAAGUUUGAAAGAUGCAAUUGCAUCACUCAAAGAUGAUCCCGCGUUGUAUUAGCUAGUUGGUGAGGUAAAGGCUCACCAAGGCGAUGAUACAUAGCCGACCUGAGAGGGUGAUCGGCCAACAUGGGACUGAGACACGGCCCAAACUCCUACGGGGGGGAGCAGUAGGGGAACUUCGGACAUUGACGAAAGGCUGACCGAACAACGCCGCGGGAGUGAAGAAGGUUUUCGGAUCGUAAAACUCUGUUGGUAGAGAAGAAAGUUGGGGAGAGUGGAAAGCUCAUCAAGUGACGGUAACUACCCAGAAAGGGACGGCUAACUACGUG
rnacentral:rRNA from 1 species